rnacentral:tRNA from 2 species
AAGAACUUAGGAUAAUAAGACCUAGGACCUUCAAAGCCCUCAGCAGAAGUUAAAGCCUUCUAGUUCUUG